rnacentral:rRNA from 1 species
GCAGAGCUUGCUCUGUGGAUCAGUGGCGAACGGGUGAGUAACACGUGAGCAACCUGCCCUUGACUCUGGGAUAAGCGCUGGAAACGGCGUCUAAUACCGGAUAUGAGCUGCGAUCGCAUGGUCAGCAGUUGGAAAGAUUUUUCGGUCUGGGAUGGGCUCACGGCCUAUCAGCUUGUUGGUGAGGUAAUGGCUCACCAAGGCGUCGACGGGUAGCCGGCCUGAGAGGGUGACCGGCCACACUGGGACUGAGACACGGCCCAGACUCCUACGGGAGGCAGCAGUGGGGAAUAUUGCACAAUGGGCGAAAGCCUGAUGCAGCAACGCCGCGUGAGGGAUGACGGCCUUCGGGUUGUAAACCUCUUUUAGCAGGGAAGAAGCGAAAGUGACGGUACCUGCAGAAAAAGCGCCGGCUAACUACGUGCCAGCAGCCGCGGUAAUACGUAGGGCGCAAGCGUUAUCCGGAAUUAUUGGGCGUAAAGAGCUCGUAGGCGGUUUGUCGCGUCUGCUGUGAAAUCCCGAGGCUCAACCUCGGGUCUGCAGUGGGUACGGGCAGACUAGAGUGCGGUAGGGGAGAUUGGAAUUCCUGGUGUAGCGGUGGAAUGCGCAGAUAUCAGGAGGAACACCGAUGGCGAAGGCAGAUCUCUGGGCCGUUACUGACGCUGAGGAGCGAAAGGGUGGGGAGCAAACAGGCUUAGAUACCCUGGUAGUCCACCCCGUAAACGUUGGGAACUAGUUGUGGGGUCCAUUCCACGGAUUCCGUGACGCAGCU